rnacentral:rRNA from 1 species
CCUACGGGUGGCAGCAGUGAGGAAUAUUGGUCAAUGGGCGAGAGCCUGAACCAGCCACGUCGCGUGAGGGAGUACUGCCCUAUGGGUUGUAAACCUCUUUUGUCGGGGAGCAAAAGCCGGACGUGUCCGGCUGUGAGAGUACCCGAAGAAAAAGCAUCGGCUAACUCCGUGCCAGCAGCCGCGGUAAUACGGAGGAUGCGAGCGUUAUCCGGAUUUAUUGGGUUAAAGGGGUGCGCAGGCGGAUUUUUAAGUCAGCGGUAAAAUCGUGGGGCUCAACCCCAUCCAGCCGUUGAAACUGGGGAUCUAGAGUGUGCGAGAGGUAUGCGGAAUGCGUGGUGUAGCGGUGAAAUGCAUAGAUAUCACGCAGAACACCGAUUGCGAAGGCAGCAUACCGGUGCACAACUGACGCUCAGGCACGAAAGCGUGGGUAUCGAACAGGAUUAGAUACCCUUGUAGUC